rnacentral:rRNA from 1 species
GGGAUUGCCUCAGUAACGGCGAGUGAAGCGGCAACAGCUCAAAUUUGAAAUCUGGCCCCGUCGGGGUCCGAGUUGUAAUUUGUAGAGAGUGUUUCGGGUGAGACCACGGUCUAAGUCUAUUGGAACAUGGCGUCAUAGAGGGUGAGAAUCCCGUAUGUGACCGUGGCUCGAACCCAUGUGAAGCCUCUUCGACGAGUCGAGUUGUUUGGGAAUGCAGCUCAAAAUGGGUGGUAAAUUUCAUCUAAAGCUAAAUACUGGCUGGAGACCGAUAGCGCACAAGUAGAGUGAUCGAAAGAUGAAAAGCACUUUGGAAAGAGAGUCAAAAAGUACGUGAAAUUGUUGAAAGGGAAGCGCUUGCAACCAGACCUGUCCGUAGGUGAUCAGCCGCUGUUCUCAGUGGUGCACUCGCUCUGCGAUCAGGCCAGCAUCGGUUCCGGCGGUCGGAUAAAGGCCUUGGGAAUGUAGCUCCCUUCGGGGAGUCUUAUAGCCCUCGGUGCAAUGCGGCCAGCCGGGACCGAGGACCGCGCUUCGGCUAGGAUGCUGGCGUAAUGGUUGUAAGCGACCCGUCUUGAAACACGGACCAAGGAGUCUAACAUCUAUGCGAGUGUUUGGGUGUUAAACCCAUGCGCGGAAUGAAAGUGAACGGAGGUGAGAACCCUUUAGGGCGCAUCAUCGACCGAUCCAGAUGUCUUCGGAUGGAUUUGAGUAUGAGCAUAGCUGUUGGGACCCGAAAGAUGGUGAACUAUGCCUGAAUAGGGUGAAGCCAGAGGAAACUCUGGUGGAGGCUCGCAGCGGUUCUGACGUGCAAAUCGAUCGUCAAAUUUGGGUAUAGGGGCGAAAGACUAAUC